rnacentral:rRNA from 1 species
CCAGCCUGGAUUGAGGUCCGCGCAUCUGCUAGGAUGCUGGUGUAAUGGCUGUAAGCGGCCUGUCUUGAAACACGGACCAAGGAGUCUAACAUCUAUGCGAGUGUUUGGGUGUCAAGCCCGAGCGCGUAAUGAAAGUGAACGGAGGUAGGAACCCGCAAGGGUGCACUAUCGACCGAUCCUGAUGUCUUCGGAAGGAUUUGAGUAAGAGCAUGGCUGUUGGGACCCGAAAGAUGGUGAACUAUGCUUGAAUAGGGUGAAGCCAGAGGAAACUUUGGUGGAGGCUCGCAGUGGUUCUGACGUGCAAAUCGAUCGUCAAAUUUGGGCAUAGGGGCGAAAGACUAAUCGAACUAUCUAGUAGCUGGUUCCUGCCGAAGUUUCCCUCAGGAUAGCAGUAACGUAUUCAGUUUUAUGAGGUAAAGCGAAUGAUUAGAGGCCUGGGGGUCGAAAUGACCUUCACCUAUUCUCAAACUUUAAAUAUGUAAGAAGUCCUUGUUACUUAAUUGAACGUGGACAGUUGAAUGAAACGUUAUUAGUGGGCCAUUUUUGGUAAGCAGAACUGGCGAUGCGGGAUGAACCGAACGAGGGGUUAAAGUGCCGGAAUACACGCUCAUCAGACACCACAAAAGGUGUUGGUUCAUCUAG